GAUUUUUACAUUAAACGCAAUAAUAAAUAACAGAUUGAAAGUGAAAGGUGGGAAGCUGUAUGUGGCUUUCAUCGACUUCAAAGCUGCAUUCGAUAGGGGAAACGAGAGCGGAAGUACAGACUCAGGGGAAAAUUACGGAAAGCUUCAGAACAGAACGGGGAGUGCGGCAAGGUUGCGCGCUAAGCGCAGUCUUGUUCGGUUUGUACAUAGAUGAUCGGAAGAAAGAUAGAUGGCGAAGAAUGAAGGGAGAGCAGUAAUAGGGAGACAACAAAUAUUUGCAAUAAAGUAUGCAGAUGACGUUUCGGCGUUGGCGGAGACUGCGGAAAAGUUGAGAAGUAUACUAAAGGAUUUGGAAAAAUGGGCACAGGAAAACAAGAUGAGA
rnacentral:lncRNA from 1 species